UUGGAACAUGCUACCUAAUGGGCAUCAUUAGGACUGUGUGCGCACCGGUAUUGAUCUAGAUAAGGGUUAUGAUCUGAGAGAAUCUGGUGAUCUCCGCAUUUACUUUUCCUCGGAGGUUCCUUUUAUUUUUGAUACACUGUAAAACUGUUUUAUUCUUAGACCGCAGUAGUAACUAGACGUCUUUAUUAUUAUAUUAUAUUUUGUCGGAUUGGUUCGACUGGUUAUAUUGCUUUGGCAUGUUAUAUUA